rnacentral:lncRNA from 10 species
UGUAAUGAGAGGCAGUUUUUUAUUUUAAUUUUUAUUUAGAUUACAUAUGCAUGUUCCCUGUGUUUCAGAGCUACAUGUGUGUUUCUCAUCUCUGACUAGAUGAGGGACCUCUCCCGGGUUUUAGAUAUCCAUGGGCUAAUGUCUUUCCUAUGUGAUUCUAAGUUCAGAUGGAAGUGCACAGCUCUCCCUUAAAUUAUGUUCGGUUGAAGGUUUUCAUCAGUUUUAUUUUGCUAGCUUGAGUUUGAAUCCUCCAAUUGGUCAGUGUCUGACUAUAGUAGAGAGUUUGAAGCAUCCUCCUCCCUUCCUCACAGUAGUCUUUGUGUCUUUCUACUAAAGCAUUGUGACUUUGUGCCACUGUCUGGCCCCGCCAACAAUCCCUGAGCCAUCUCAUGCCGUACUGGCUUUCUCUCUGAGACUGUGCUGUCUUUCUUUUUGUCUUUGGUAUAUAACACAUGUUGACCCUUUUUCUCAAAGUUCUAACACCCACUUAUUUUUCAGGUUAAAAAUACCCAUGAAAAGGUAUUUGUUAACACUUCCUACUAGUUUAUGUACCCUCUGCAUUCAAAAAUAUGUACCACUUUUCUCUGGGAGAGGACAAUCCCUUCUCACCUAUAGGUAUCUCAGGGCUUAGUCAUGUGACUCACCUUUUCCCAAUGAGGUGUGAGUGGAAGAGACACUUGUCACUUCUAGGUGGAAGCUUUCAGAGCUGUCACUUUGUUUACAUACUCUUUC